CGCGUGGACGCCGGGUUCCCGUCUGGGCAGUGAGGACGCCGCUCAUUGCGCCUCCCAGCCGCAUGGGCCCCGGGACACCCGCUCGCGGAUCCCCCCCAGAGACGCGGCCAAGUGCCCCCGUUAGGCGCGCGGCCGGCGGGACUGGUCGCGGCAGAGCGCGGCAGGGCUCCAGGCUCCAUCCCGGAGCUCGCACCCCGCGCGGGCAGCCCCUCAGGGACUGCGGCGGGUCACUUCGGUGCGCUGAGGCGUCCGCUCCUGCGAAAUGCGCCCCGGCGCUGACCCGGGGCCUCCGCGGAGGACGAGGGCCUGGGGCCGCGAGCUCGUGGUCGGGGGAGGGCGGCCUCAGGACCCCGCGGGCCCAGUGCGGCUGCGGCUGCCACGGAUCCACGUCCAGCCUGGGCCCGGUACUCCCGCGGACGCCUCUGUCGUCCAGCCUGGGCCCGGUGCCCCCGCGGCCCUCGGGAGGGUUCUCUCAGUUGAGCUGGGAGCCACAGGCCCUGGGCUCCUGCUGUCUCUAGCACAGGGCGCUGUUCUGCCCAGGAAGCCACAGGGUCCGCGCCGCCCCUGUGGGGUUCAGCCCGACGCCAGCUCCCCCUCUGCUCACAGCCAAGGCAGGCUUUCCCUGCCCACGCUGAUCACGCACAGGGAGGCGGUCACAGCCACCCUGCCUGCACCGGGCACCGCGCACGGGGAGGCGGUCACGGCCACCCUGCCUGCACCAGGCGUCAGGCACAGUGGGGCGGUCACGGCCACCCUGCCUGCACCGGGCACCAGGCACAGUGGGGCGGUCACGGCCACCCUGCCUGCACCGGGCACCGCGCACGGGGAGGCCACGGCCACCCUGCCUGCACCGGGCACCUCACACGGGGAGGCGGUCACGGCCACCCUGCCUGCACCGGGCACCAGGCACAGUGGGGCGGUCACGGCCACCCUGCCUGCACGGGGAGGCGGUCAUGGCCACCCUGCCUGCACCAGGCGUCAGGCACAGUGGGGCGGUCACGGCCACCCUGCCUGCACCAGGCACCAGGCACAGUGGGGCGGUCACGGCCACCCUGCCUGCACCGGGCACCGCGCACGGGGAGGCCACGGCCACCCUGCCUGCACCGGGCACCUCACACGGGGAGGCGGUCACGGCCACCCUGCCUGCACCGGGCACCUCACACGGGGAGGCGGUCACGGCCACCCUGCCUGCACCGGGCACCAGGCACAGUGGGGCGGUCACCGCCACCCUGCCUGCACGGGGAGGCGGUCAUGGCCACCCUGCCUGCACCAAGCGUCAGGCACAGUGGGGCAGUCACGGCCACUCUGCCUGCAGCCGGGCACCACGCACGGUGAGGCGGUCACGGUCACUCUGCCUGCACCGGGCACCAGGCACAGUGGGGCGGUCAACGUCCACCCUGCCUGCACCGGGCACCGCUCCAGACGCUCCCGGGAAACGGGCUCACUCCUGGCUGCACUGGCUGCGGCACCACCAUCUGCUUUUGGCAGAAGGAAAAGGAGCGUUCAGGGAGCUGGAGGCUCAGUCCCGUGUGCCCUCUGUGGCCCUGCUGAGGGGCGAAGCUGA
ensembl:lncRNA